UACGGAGGGGACUAGCGUUGUUCGGAAUUACUGGGCGUAAAGCGUACGCAGGCGGCUUUGCAAGACAGGUGUGAAAUCCCCGGGCCUAACCUGGGAACUGCAUUUGUGACUGCAUAGCUAGAGUUUGUCAGAGGGGGGUGGAAUUCCACGUGUAGCAGUGAAAUGCGUAGAUAUGUGGAGGAACACCGAUGGCGAAGGCAGCCCCCUGGGAUAUGACUGACGCUCAUGUACGAAAGCGUGGGGAGCAAACAGG
rnacentral:rRNA from 1 species